UAAUACGUAGGGGGCGAGCGUUGUCCGGAGUUACUGGGCGUAAAGGGCGUGCAGGCGGUGCGGUAAGUUUAGAGUGACAGUAUCCGGCUUAACUGGAUAAGGCCUCUGAAAACUGCCGGACUUGAGGGCCAGAGAGGGACAUAGAAUUCCGGGUGGAGUGGUGAAAUGCGUAGAUAUCCGGAGGAAUACCAAAGGCGAAGGCAGUGUCCUGGCUGGCAUCUGACGCUGAGGCGCGAAAGCUAGGGGAGCGAACAGGAUUAGAUACCCUGGUAGUCCUAGCCGUAAACGAUGACCACUAGAUGUGCGGGGUAUCGACCCCCUGCGUGUCGGAGAUAACUUUUUAAGUGGUCCGCCUGGGGAGUACGGUCGCAAGAUUA
rnacentral:rRNA from 1 species